AGUGAACGCUGGCGGUAGGCCUAACACAUGCAAGUCGAACGGCAGCACAGGAGAGCUUGCUCUCUGGGUGGCGAGGGGCGGGCGGGUGAGGAAUACAUCGGAAUCUACUUUUUCGUGGGGGAUAACGUAGGGAAACUUACGCUAAUACCGCAUACGACAUACGGGUGAAAGCAGGGGAUCUUCGGACCUUGCGCGAUUGAAUGAGCCGAUGUCGGAUUAGCUAGUUGGCGGGGUAAAGGCCCACCAAGGCGACGAUCCGUAGCUGGUCUGAGGAGGUGAUCAGGCACACUGGAACUGAGACACGGUCCAGACUGCUCCGGGAGGCAGCAGUGGGGAAUAUUGGACAAUGGGCGCAGGCCUAUUCCAGCCAUACCGCGUGGGUGAAGAAGGCCUUCGGGUUGUAAAGACCUUUUGUUGGGAAAGAAAUCCAGCUGGUUAAUACCCGGUUGGGAUGACGGUACCCAAAGAAUAAGCACCGGCUAACUUCGUGCCAGCCGCCGCCGUAAUAC
rnacentral:rRNA from 1 species